UAACAAUCUCACUGAAUUUUUCAUGGGUCGUACUUGUAUUUGUUGUUGUCCCAGUUAGCCUAAUUCCACUUUGGGCAACAAUUUCCUGUCUGAAUUUGUUGUUAAAUCCCAUUAAACAUAACACCUUUCACAUGAUCCUAAUCUGCUAGGUGGGAGGGAGGGCUCUCAAGCAAUUGCCACGUCAGGAUAGGAGGAAGUUUCACUGCAAUUUUUAUUAGUAAGCAGGAGCUGCAUUGCUUCUAGUCCCUUAUGAUCAGAAGUACUACUUGAAGGGGCUUCCAAACAAAGCUUUCUUUCCUGGAGACGCAGUCUGGGAGAGCUCAGAAUUCACACGUCUACCCUGGAGGGAUGCACUGGCUGAAAGCAGGUCUAUGGUCGAUGUAAGGACCUGCCUGAAGUCUGCUCCCUCUGUGUGUCAAUGGCACAAGACCUAUUGAAGUACCAGACACCAAACCACGUGAUUUCCUGCUUCUGGUCUUCCACUCCUCAAGGAUUUGGGAUCAGUGUCCUACAGGGUGUGGAGACUGACAUUUGAGUAACCACUCACAAUUGGAUGUAACUGAAUCAUAUGAAUCCUUCUCAGAACAGCCAAACUACCACAUGAGAGAGGACAGACUAAAUCAGACAUCCCGGCAGACAUUCAAGAAUUGAAUGAGGACAUGGGUUGUACUGCCUCGUGUUCCCAGCUAUGUGUGACCUGGGUCAUUCAGUAUCCCCAGUCCUGACCUUCACACUAAGGAAAGUACCUGGCAAAUGAGAAGGAAAAUUUGAGAGAGAAGGGAAGGAAGGAGGGACCUCAGACCCAGAGAUGAUAUAAGAACAUACGUUGGCAGAGCAUGGAAGGACAGUAAUUACAGGUUCAGUCAACAAUCAAAAAGCAAAGGGUACAGUUUACUUGCAGUUGCUUUGCGUGACAGCUUGAAAUCUACACAGCUGUUGUUUCUCCUUUAUGAGGGAUAAGAUUUACCCAUGGCACUGUUUGUGCAAGAUUCAGCUGGAUUUUUUACCAGGCUCCAGCUUAUCCAGAAACCAUGAAGAAGCACUCUGUCCAUCACUAUAACCAAACCACAGUCAUACCACCAGCUCAGAAACACAAACGUGGUCCCGUGAAUGAGACAUCUGUAGCAAAAGCAACUCUAAUGAGAAAUUCUGUCAUCUCCAUAUGCUCAGGAUGAUCUGGGAUGACUACAGAUGCAGCCUCAGUCGUUACAGCAGCAGAAGCAAUCUCUGCUGUAUCAAAUUAGCACAACAAGUUCCAGGCCUAUACCAAACCAUGAAAAGAUAUGUGACACGAACUGCUACUUUCCAAGGGACAUACUAAUGUGAAGCCUGUAUAGAAGACGGUCCACCUGGCAAAGGUUCUGUUAAAAGCAAUGAGUGAUAUUUUUGUAGAUUUCUCUGUGCAGGGAAGAUGUCCACAUGCAGGGUCAACCCACAGCUCUUGUCCCACAUAAGGCUGGAAGACUUCCUCGGGACAGGUACCCUGCCAAGGCAUUGCCACAAGUAAAGGCUGUACAGAAACUGGGGCUACUGAGUAACCUGAAUUCCCUCCCUUGGAAGGAAGCAAACCACCGAGGCCAGUGCUGUUGUGCUGCAGUCAGAGCCCACUGCACCCUCAGCCCAGGCCCAACCUGCAACAGAGCCACUGCUACCACCCUCCUUGCACUUACCAGCAGACAUCAUGCUUCUUGGAGGUGUCCAGUGUGUGCCCUGUAGCUCUCAACUGUGAAGGAAACGGUGUAGGCAGAGUCUGGCCAUUGCUGGAGUGGUCCUGGCUGGAGAGACUUGCGGUUCUGCCCCAUUUUGUUCUGUGGCAUUGGGCAAACCUUUUGGCUUCUCUGCUGCAGUUCCUCCUUCUGUAAAAUGGUGGUAGUGACAGUGUUUCACUACCCGGUGGUGAGAGGUGACUUCUCUCUCUUCUGUUCCUUCUUUAGAUGUUUCCAAACCAAGUGAACAGAGGAAACAAACAUCUCCAUUUUGUGGUUUUAUAACUGAGGCACAAAGAAAUUAAAUAAUCAUUACUGAUGGAAACUGAAGUGGAGGCCACUGUUUCUCACUCCCGUACUUAAACAGUAUGUCUUUUCUUUCUCCUAUAUCUUCUCUUUUAGAAGAUUUUGCUAAUUUAACACAAACAACGACUUCAACCAUGACCAGAAAGAAUGCAUGUGCUUUCAUUGUAAUGAAGGAACUCUCUGUUACUUGUCAGCUAUAGGGUAUAUCUAUGAAUUUUU